UCGACAGCGAUUGGACGGCGCGCAACUGCGGCCCGCAUGCACAGCCUGCCCCUGGCGAGCCGUUCUUUGGAAAGGAAGGGCUGACUGCAGAGCCCCGCUCGGCGCCUGACCUCUCUCCCGAGCUGUUGACGGUUCGGCUCCUGGGUAACCCACUGACCUCAGCGUCGAGCAGCGCUGCUGGGAACAGGAGACUCCCUCCAGGCACGCCCGAUAAGCUUCUGCCCUGGCGAAAUUCCUUCUCCUCGCGCGAGGGAGGGGCGAAGGCUUAGCACGGCCGCCUCCUUUCAGGCGAAGAGCCGCUGCUGGGCUGUGGAGUUUCUGUGCGGGGCUGAGCGGCCGCUGAGGGACUUUGGCGCGGGGAGCCAGAAUGUUGGGGCCCACCGGAAACUUCUCCCGAUGAGCCGCCAGGGGAAGAGUCAUCCUCUUGUUCAUCUGUCCAGCCUGUAUUCCUGGCCAGUUGGUCCAGUCUGUACCAAUACACAUCCAAGCCUCCAGAAAAAUGUUUCCAGAAGGAGAAGAUGGCAUCAGGUAACUCCAGGGAAUUGGAUCGAGGAAGUGAGCCUGCACGGAUAGGAGAGGGCAUUCUGGAAACUGAAUCCGUGUCACUGGCUGUAGGGGAAGGGUUCCCAAAUGAGAUCUCCCUUUCAUUUUCUGUCAAGAGUCGCUCUGGGCAAGGCCUGAACCCUCAGCUGCAGGAGGCAGCAAGAAAGAGGCUGUGGGCCUUGGAAAAUGAUGAUAAAGACGUUUGUGCACUUUUCAAGGAACUGUCAGCCAGGCUGGUAUGCAUUCAAGCACAGGAGGAUCAGUUUUUACUGUCCUUCAAGACCAUAGAAGAAAUCUGGAAGUUUUCGACAUACUUGGCACUCGGCUAUGUUGCUUGCUGCUUGGAGCAUCUUCUUUUCACACCAGCAUACUGGCUGAACUGUACGCUGGUGGAGGACACUGAAAUCACAGUUACUGUAGAUGAAGAUCUUAUGGCCACCAUGUACCUGGGGCUUCUGCUCCAGGAAGGAAAUUUCUUUUCCAGAGCAGUGCUUGAUACCCUGACAGAGGAAGGAGAGGAAGAUUUGAAGUUCUACAAGAACGAGUUAGUCCAUGUGAAGGACAUUGGGCAUGAAACAAAAUGGGAAGGGACAUCUUUAUCAACAGAACAGAGGGGACUAGUCAGUGUCACAACUAUAGAACCUCUGCCACAUCCCUUUUACCAGUGGUUUCUGAAAAACUAUCCAAUGAGCUGUGGCAUCUCUAAGCAAAUCAGUGGAAGCGACUCUUUGCAUAUUGGCCAAGGGAGGUGCACAGCCACAGUGGAUCACAGAGGGAGAGGAUGGGAUGAGUUGAGCUUCUGCAAAGGAGACAUCAUAGAGGUCCUGGGCUUUCUCAUUCCAGGCCUUCAGUGGUUUAUAGGAAAAUCCACAAGCAGUGGGACAACAGGCUUUGUCCAAACCAAAUGUGUGCAUCCUGAGACAAAUGAACAAAUAAGAAAGGGUCCAGUGUUUUUCAGUGAAGAUGAAGUAGCCUCCUUUCUUCAAGUUCCCUGCAAUGGCAGUGAGACACAUUACAGUAGUCUUCUCAUUGAACUGGCUCAGACAGACAUCGCCUCUGUGUACAGGCUCGAUGGUUUUGAACCUGUAGCAGUGUACUCACAAACACCAUCAGAUGCGGCUGUACAAGGUCUUAAGAAUGGCUGGACAUUAGAGGGUUGGGGCAAGCAAGCUACAAAUAGCUUGCCCACCCCUAGUGAUUCUGAGUUGUCCACUCUGGAUGGAGAAUUGUCACCUUCUCCCAUGGAAAGUUUACUUUUGUCAGAACCAGAUGACCUUGAUGAUCCCAAAUUCUUUAUUGAUUUGAAUGCUGGACACAUGGAAGACGCUGAUGUUUUUGACCCUAUACUGACUUUCCUUAACCAAGAUGGCUAUGUGGCCCAUUUCCAAGGUCUCUAUGACAUCUCUUUUUCCUUCCUUAGUUCCACUUUCUAUGGCUUUUCCAAUGAGGAAGAGCUUGUCUUAUACCUUGAGACAUCGAGGAACUGGGCUAAGAAGGGUCACCUUUUUUGGGCUCACAUUCGAAUAUGUUUUCUUUUGGGCCGACUUUGUGUCAGGAGAGCCAAGUUUUCUCAAGCUCGAGUCUAUUUUGAAGAAGCCAUGAACAUUAUGGAUAAGGGAUUUGAAGAUCUACCCUUGCUCACCUCACUGUACACAAACCUGGCUGCCAUUUAUCUGAAGCAGAAGAUGAAGCAAAAAUUCUUGUCCGUGAUUGGGAAAGUGGUGGCCCUUGUGGCUGGCCUGCCAGGGCACUGCUUCGGCUCUGAGAAUGAGCUGGAGGUCACCAUGUACAUCCUGAGAGAAGCAAUUGCUGUGGGCAACACUGCUCUGGAAAUACGUGCUUCCUUCCUUGUUGUCAGACUCUUACUACAGUUGGGCAAAUAUGAUGAGGUCCUGCCAUUUGCAGAACGCUUGCAGUUCCUUUGUGCCAGUUUCUCCAGCCAGGACUCUUUAGGCACAGUGCCAAUCUUGAGCUAUCUGUAUGACAAAAAGUACUUGCCACACAUUGCUUUGGCAUCUGCCAGGCUGUUUUCGCCUAGUGGUAUAAAGGGGGCACCAACCCCCAUUUGGAAAGCUGGAUUUAUCCUUAGGAAUGCUCCUAAGCUCCUGAAAGUCCAAGAAAGAAGCAGCAACAUCCCUGCUGUGGCUUGUUUCUAUCUCAACUGUGCACUGGCCUUCUCACGUGAAAAGAGAGCUGUGUCCACUGAGAGAGCUGUGUGUGCAGUUUUAUCCAAAAUGUACCUGAAGCAUGGCCUAGUACAAGGAGCUGUUUAUUAUUCAAACAGGGCUGUUGCCCUUGGCAAAGGGAUGGGUGAGGAAGAGGCUUUUGAAUCUUCCCUUUCUUUGGGGUGGAUGUAUGCUUUGAACAGACAGCCAGAAAAAGCUUCAGAGAUCAUGAUCUGUCUCCUGCGUUCUCUGCGACAGACAGACAGCGUGACACAGGAUGGCGUAGUCCACAACCUUCUGGCCAUUGCCCUUAAAGGAGAAGGACAGGUGCAGAAGUCAGCUGAAAACUACCUGUGGGCCUUAAAUAAAGCCCGGGAGACAGGCAACAGAAGGAACCAAGCGAUUGCUUUAUCCAACUUUGGAUGCCUGGCUCUGUCUUGCAGGGCAAACCACCUAGCUGAAUGUUACUUUCUCCAGGCUGUUAGGUUGUAUUUUGAAUUCCAAAGUGGUGAUGAUGCACAGAUGGAACUGGUACAGGUACUGCUGUGGCUGGCACAAUCCCGGGCAGACAGGCAUAAAUCAGAAGAGAGCAAGCUGUUCUAUGAGCUGGCCUUGGCAGUCGCCUUGAUGUCUCGCAAUGUGAUGAGUCAGCUUCAUGUCGUGGAAUCCCUCUGCCAUUUCUAUAGCAAAGUGUAUCCAAAUACUAGAGCCUGCAUUAUUUACCAUGAGCACCAAGUUUCCCUUGCCCAGCAAUUCCAAGACAGAGAAAUGGAAGGGCAACUUCUGCAAGUUCUCGGCCAGCUAUACCAAAGUCUACAUACAACAAGAUCUCUGAAACAGGCACUGGACUGUACCAAGCAGAGUUUGAGAAUCUUCAUUGACCUCGGGGAGACAGUCAAAACAGCACAGGCCUGGCUCCAGGCUGGGAAGCUCUACUAUCACUUGCAAGAAGAUGAGUUGGUGGAAAUGUAUUUGCAGGCAGCCAUACAAACGGCACUGAAACCUGGAGAGCUGCAUCUAGCCAUGAACCUGUAUGAAGAAGCAGGUGAUGUCUUCUUCAAUGGGAUCCAUAACAGACAAAGAGCGGUGGAAUAUUACAGGGGUGGAGCUGUUCCUCUAGCUAGGAAGCUGAAAGCCAUGCAGACUGAGCUGAGAGUGUUCCAUAAGCUGACUGAGCUGCAGAUUGGACUCCAGAAUUAUGAGAAGGCUUUGGAAUUUGCCACCUUAGCAGCCAGACUCAGUGUGGAUGUAGGAGAUCAGUUACAAGAGCUGGUUGCAUUUCACCGACUGGCAACGGUGUACUAUUUCCUGCACAUGUACGAAAUGGCUGAGGACUGCUACCUGAAGACACUUUCUCUGUGCUCACCAUUGUUACAAGGUGCUCAGGAGGCCAUGUAUUACUCCAAGGUUUACUGUCGCCUGGGUGAUCUGACACUACACAAAUUAAAGGAUGAGCAAGAUGCAGCCAGUUACUUUCUCUUGGCCUUGGCUGCUGCCACUGAGCUCGGUGACCAGGCUUGGCAAGGCAGAAUUCAGGAAAAGUUGGCUCAAAUAUAUAAUGCUUCCCUGUGGAAUAAGGGCCCAAGAGGGUGGACAACAUAUCGGGCCCGAUGGCUGAGUGAAGGACGCCAUGCUGUAUGACAAAUCGCCUUGUGGGUUUUGAGUACUCUUAGACCUCUGAACCAGAAGAAAUAAAAUACGUCUUUCUUCAGUGCCAAAAAGGUCCCAGGUGCCUUCUAGACCAAAGUGAAGGGGAGAAAUAUGAUCCAGUAAUUCAGUCUCUUGUGGCUUUUAAAUUUAGCAGUGAGAAAAUCUACCUGCUGUGCAUGGAGUCAUCUAAGAUCUCAGCAAGAGCAACAAUACACAGACCUUUUAAAGUAUACACUAUAUAGAUUCUCCGUGAAGAACAAAUUGAAAGCACAAGAGUUGGACCAUUUAUCUUUUUCUCCAUGAGCAGAAUGUGAUGUCAUCUGAUCUCCUUUUCCAUGCUGCUUGGGGACAUCACCUUUUCCUUUCUCCCUUCUGUCACAGUUCACAGUCAACUAGACUGUUCUGAGGUACUUUAUUAUCCAGUUUUAGUUGUUGCUGUACAGAUGUACUGAUACUAAUUAAUGAAGCACAGUUUGCUUGCGAUUUAAUGUGAGAUGUUGCACCCAACUCCUUUGCUGAUAGUUUUACUGUCUUCUGUUUAGUUUUUGGACACUUACAAUUUUGGGUCCACUUGCUAUUACUUCUGUGUGCACCCAAGUGACCAGUGAAUGUGCCACCCUUAGCAAGUCCAUCCUUUAUUUUCUCUGCACCACUAAUUGUUUAUGAGGUUCAGAUGUAACAUGUUAUCUUUUCUGAAGGUACUCUUUGUAUGAUCUCACUGUUUGUUCUGGUGAUAGAUUGGGAGGGUGUCUAUUAACUAUGUCUCUUAAGGAUUCUGAUGUUUCAUCCUGCUGGUUUUCUGCUAUAUAUUCAGUGGAUUCUUGUUUUGCUGUAAGAAUCACGCUGGUUUUCUCCAGCUGAUGCUGUCCUUUGACUCCCCCCUCUGAAAUGUCAUUAUUUUGUGAGCUUUUCUGGGUACCUGCCCUUGUUCUUGUUGAGAUGCACUCUGCUGCAUUUUCAUUUGUGUGCAAGUGUUCACAUCCACCUUUUCCACAUGCUUGGGCAGGUCAUUACCAAGGAUUAUGGGAACAGGAAUUUCAUCAAGCACCCUGACUUCCCAAAGUCCUUCCCAGAGUUUGUACUUUAUGUUCACUUUAGCAACAGAUCCCGGGAAAGCAGGACUUCUCAGCCAUUUAAUUAUCACGCUUUUCCCCUCCACUAAGUUCUUUGACUUCACCAAGUGAAUUUAAUGAUGCUCACUUCAGCUCUGAAUCUCUCCUUGCUAAUACUUGGGAUCUGUCCACUACCACAGAUUCAGUGUAAUCAGGAUCCAUGCCUUUCUUGGAUGUUACUAUUACAAACACUCUGGCAUGCCUUGAACUUAAAAUGGCAAUUGCUCUGUCUAGUGUCUGUUUCUCCACAGAAGCCUCUGGACAUUCUAAGCCUUCUGUGUCAACUGGCAUUAAGUGUUAAGAUACUAUAGCAGGCUGUAUCUGUUUUAUGGCAUUUACUUGUUUCUGUGUUAUAAGGACUCUUCGUUUAUUCAUUUGGGGGCAGUCAACGCAGUUAAAAUAUUUCUUCUGUGACCCCUUAUCUCUGCUCUGAGGUGUUUCUUUGGCCAUUGCUCGACCUCCUGUAUGGUUUUUGUCAGGUAGGUGAGGUUCUCUGUGUUGUUUUCCCUGCUUAAAAUAUUUUUCUGAGGAUAAUUUUUUUCCCUCAUCAACAUCAGCUUUGGUCUCUUCAGCUUUGGCUACAGUUUUUGGCUCCUCAUCUUGUACCAGCCAGCAAUAAAUGAGUACUGUUUUAUAAAACUGCUCCAAUCCUAUGAGUCUGAUAACAUCCUGGAGGCUUUCUACUUUAAUAUCCAAUCCAAUUUACAUGACAUCUGAGCAUAGGCCUCUUCAGGUUUUUUUCUCAGACUUCUAAACUAUUUCCUGCUAUGUUCUGGUAUUUUCUUUAAACCCUUGCUUUUCUCGCUCUUCAAACACAUCAUAAUCAUUUACUUCAUCAUCCUCUCAUUUCACUGUAAGCUUCACUUAGACCCUCAAACAUUUCAGAUCUCAUGUAGGUCAUUCUCUGAUCAUCAGGGAUGUUUGCCAAACUUGUCUUUUUAAACCACCUAGGAUUCUUAUUACUGCUCCUUCUUACAUUUUUACCUGAACUUUUACCACAGGAGGGCAGUCCUUUUUAUUAAAUCACUCCUUUCUUGUAACUCAUUCUGUAACCCUUUCCAUAGCACCUUCUUAUAUUUACCUUCAAAUUUUACCUCAGAAGAGCUUUGGCCACACAUUGAACUUCUUAUUUUCCACGCAUACACACAUACAGCUAUAGCUACCUACUUUGCCCAAGCUUUUAACCUUGAGAGCAUCUUCCCUUUGGGGUUUGAAUUCCACUGCUGAAGGCAGCACUUUCAUGUUGUGACCCCUUCACACUGUCUCCACACACAGAACCGCUCUCCUUAGGUUCAAGACUACAGGCAGGCCUAAUGUUGAAACUGUUUCUAGAUUCCACAUUUUUGUAGCAAUCCUGCAGCCAAGCCAAAGACAUACCAUUCAAUACAUGCCAAGUUCUGGGGAAGGAGCCACGCUUAGAUGCUCUGUGUACAGUCUCAAAUAUCUGGAUGUGGCCAGUCAAGGCAAUGAGAUAAGAUGGCUAAUUGGUUUACUGCCAGAUGACUGGCUAAUCAUAUUACCUUGGAUUCUUCUUUGCAUAAGACAUUUUUGACAGAAGUGGGAAUGGUAUACUUUUGUUAAGGAUGUCCCUUUGAACCCUUUCUCAUAUUACAAAAGGUGCUGGUGGCAAAGGAACUAUGAGUUAUUCCCAGUUUGUCUUCCUUGGGAAACUUUGAAAAAAGGAACAUGUACACCCAAGUAAGGGAGAUAAGUGAGCUGUUCCCAUUUUUGGAACACAUGAAUCUCCUGUGAGGUAAAUGAGGUAUAAGCCCCUUUUUUACUAUUACAGAGUAUCUGCAAAUAGUAUGGGACACUGUGAAUUGAACUUGCUGCUAGCAGAAUCCUGGACAUAGUUUCAUUUGUUUUAUUUAUGAAGUUUGAGUCUCUUCAGGAAGACUUAAGACGGUGGCAUCUGGCAAGAAGCAUAUGAUGAAGGAACUGGAACAGUAAAGGCAGAGAAAGAGAUGGCACUGUUUUCAUGGAAAACACCUAUUAGCCUAUAUCAGAUACUACCAUGGAUUACAAUAAUGGCUUUGAUCCUGUGCAAGGACUGUAGAUCUUUCCCACUUUCCUCUCUCCCCAGCAGCUGUUUCUGAUCCUGGAAAGUUGACCCAUGGGGCCCACAUGGAGUCUUGGGACCAUGUGAAGUAGCCAUGCAGUUCAGGAGGCUUCAGUGGGGAGGGAGAAAGGCCUGAAGUCACCUUCUUCCAUCAGGAGAGUUAUGGGUGAGGCAAGAGGGAGCCAUUUUGCCCUCUUUCCCCCUCCCCGCAGCAGCCUCUGAACCCACAUGGCUUUUGUUCCAUGUGGGCUUCACAACCGCAGGAAUGAAUUUUCCUGGGGUUGGCAAGGACUGCUGGGACAGUUGGGAAGAAAUGUGCUGAUGAAUCACAUCACCUGACCCAAUAAUACUAAAUGCUGGGGUUGGAUGCAGAAGAAAAUUUCUGCUAAUAGAAGGGGAGUGUUUUAUGCUGAUUCCCCUUCCUUAAUAUAGAUCUCCACCUGUUUCUGGGGGUCCCAUAUCACCCAAGAGCAGCAUUUUAGGGAACAUUUUGAACAGUAGCAGAGGUGGUGGCAAGUAAAGUACUUGAGGGGAACCCAUUCCAUUGAUAGGUUUCUCCAUGGGAUCUAACUCUAAUUCAUUGAUAUCAAGAGGCUUAUUUUACAUGGAAUUGCAUUGGUAACAGCCAAUGCAAUAUGUCCACAGAACGAAUGUUUCAGCACCUAAAUAGCUAUAUGGGAGGGUUUACAUCUCAGUUGCUGAGCCCAUGCUUUGCUUGCAGAAAGCCUGUUUCAAAGCUUGAUAUAUCUCCCAUAAAAGGGAUUAUGGGCGACAGGGCAAAGAGCUUCUUUGAGACCCUUCAGAGUGUUUUUCAGUUGGAAGUAGAUAGUACAGGAUUAGAUAGGCCGAUGAUCUGAUUUGGAACAUGUGGCACUGGUUUGCUAUGUGGAAUUUUGCUUUCUCCUGUAUUACAUCUCACCACUAGAGGGCAAUAAAAGUAGUUUUUCUAGCCGUUUUCACUUUUCAGUCAUCAUUUGAGAGCAAGAAUUUGUUUUCAAAUUAGUAAGGGUUUCUGAGCAAUCUGAACUUUAAAGAUGCCUCUGUGAGGUGCUGUCUGACUAGUCAUGGUUAGAAGUAUUUUGCCCCUUGUAACAUUUUUCUGCAUUGUUUUAAAAUCGUAAACAGAUCACAUUGAUUUCCCCAGUAAUUUGUACAAAUACAGGAUAUAUUCUACACACACACACCGCACACUGCACACUAAACAAGUGUGUAAAAAAACCAAUUGAAAGAGCAAGGACUGGCUACCUAAAACUGCAAGGAAAUGGGCAUCUUUGCCUAAAUAGGACUAUUUGAAAAAAUAAUUAUGACCGAUGCAGCUUUCACUGAAUCUAAUGAUUAUAGAUAUAACUAAAGUAUGUAAACAUAGUAUUCUUUAGGAAGGCAGAAAAUAAUUUUCAGCUGGAAAAAGUAUUUUAAUAUUAUUUGGAGGGAUGAGCACAGUAUCAAAUAUAAAGGUCAAACUAGAUACAUCAAAAGGUGAUCCCUUAUCCAGUUAUCCUGUGUUUUUCUUUUCAAACGGCUGCUGGUAGCCACAGGCCCCUCAAUUUGAAUUGAGGAUGUGGUUGUUAAGCCUUUCCCAUUGUGCUAUGGGGCCUGUGCAGAUUCCUCCCCCUCCCUUAACCAUUCUUAACAACUAGGGAACAGAUACUAAUUGGGGCAGAUAAAAUUGAGAAAAAGGUAACCCCUUCUCCAUGUUACUACCCAUGUUACUACUACUACUAAAAGGGGGGGGCACAUCUUUUUAUUUUCUAGAGAUCCACUGGAGAGUCUAAUAAUGGAUGUUCUAUGUUGUGGCUAGUUUGGUAUUUUAAUAACGUAUGCAAGCACGGAACACAUCUACACAGUCUUAGAUUCAUACAGGUACCCCCCCCUUUCUCUUACACUCAUGUAUAUGAGGUCACACACACACAGAACAGCUACGUACUCUCCACCAUUUCUGAUUUGUUCAGGACCUUCUGAACUGCAGAGUUGGAAACACUUUUCUUGCUCUCAUCCAUAGCAGGAACACCAGUUAAGGCUGCAUUUCUCCUGCAGUCAUUCAGUGUGUAGCUCCCUAAGCAUACGUAAUAAGCUAUCUGGGUGUGGAUCAGGGCACUUUUGAAGAAAUUGUAACUGGCUGUUCAUUCCCAAGCUGUAUUUUCACACUUCUCACGUUAUGUGUUAUCCAAAGUUACAGAACUUGUAUGCAUACAAGGAAGCUCCUCCAGUAGGACUACGGGGAUUGCCUCUGCUAAACAUGAUAGAGGAUGAGGGGUGGGGGGAGGAGAUAAUGCAAUUCAAAGAGCCUUGCCUUUAUUAUGAUAGAUCCCCAUGGGUUUUAUUUGCAGAGGGAACAAGUCAAGUUCCUUUUGGGGAUAUUAGCUGACACUGAAAUGUCAAUGGUCUAAAACCCCUUCACUCCCUUCUGUACUGCACCCAUUUAUUUCCUUUACACUGUAAGCCCCCAUGAGAAAUGUGAGCACCAUAGGACCCAUGAUCCUGGGGAAAUGGUUUAUUGGCCAGGUCCUUUCUGAAUGGGCCAGGAGGAACUCCCUUCUUCUGAGGGAUCCCUUAAAAUAAAGGGUAGCAAGGAGCAAACCUUUGUUACUCAUUUUAACAUACCCUGUUCCAGAGACCAGCUGUGGGAAAUUUGAUCUGUCUCCAGGAGGGAGAUUGUAUCUGAAGUUGGGCUAUAUUUAUUUUUUGUACUCUGUAUUGUUAACCUCUUAGAUUUCCCUGUUCACUUAUUUGUGUGUGAAUAAAAUAAAAUUUUAAUUUGUU